CAGAGGGUGCGAGCGUUGUCCGGAAUCACUGGGCGUAAAGGGCGCGUAGGUGGCUCUGUAAGUCAGGGGUGAAAUGCUGCGGCUCAACCGCAGCGCUGCCCUUGAGACUGCAAGGCUUGAGCACGGUAGAGGCCGAUGGAAUUCCCGGUGUAGCGGUGGAAUGCGUAGAGAUCGGGAAGAACACCGAUGGCGAAGGCAGUCGGCUGGGCCGUUGCUGACACUGAGGCGCGACAGCGUGGGGAGCAAACAGGAUUAGAUACCCUGGUAGUCCACGCCGUAAACGAUGGGCACUAGGCGUCGGGGGGAGCGACCCUCCCGGUGCCGUCGCUAACGCAGUAAGUGCCCCGCCUGGGGAGUACGGCCGCAAGGUUG
rnacentral:rRNA from 1 species